AGUCGAACGAUGAAGCCGCUUCGGUGGUGGAUUAGUGGCGAACGGGUGAGUAACACGUGGGCAAUCUGCCCUGCGCUCUGGGACAAGCCCUGGAAACGGGGUCUAAUACCGGAUAUGAUCAUCGGCCGCAUGGUCUGGUGGUGGAAAGCUCCGGCGGUGCAGGAUGAGCCCGCGGCCUAUCAGCUUGUUGGUGGGGUGAUGGCCUACCAAGGCGACGACGGGUAGCCGGCCUGAGAGGGCGACCGGCCACACUGGGACUGAGACACGGCCCAGACUCCUACGGGAGGCAGCAGUGGGGAAUAUUGCACAAUGGGCGCAAGCCUGAUGCAGCGACGCCGCGUGAGGGAUGACGGCCUUCGGGUUGUAAACCUCUUUCAGCAGGGAAGAAGCCUUCGGGUGACGGUACCUGCGGAAAAAACACCGGCUAACUACGUGCCACCAGCCGCGGUAAUACGUAGGGUGCGAGCGUUGUCCGGAAUUAUUGGGCGUAAAGAGCUCGUAGGCGGCGUGUCACGUCGGAUGUGAAAGCCCGGGGCUUAACCCUGGGUCUGCAUUCUAUACGGGCAGGCUAUAGUUCGGUAGGGGAGAUCGGAAUUCCUGGUGUAGCGGUGAAAUGCGCAGAUAUCAGGAGGAACACCGGUGGCGAAGGCGGAUCUCUGGGCCGAUACUGACGCUGAGGAGCGAAAGCGUGGGGAGCGAACAGGAUUAUAUACCCUGGGAGUCCACGCCGUAAACGUUGGGAACUAUGUGUGGGUCACAUUCCACGUGGGCCGUGCCGCAGCUAACGCAUUAAGUUCCCCGCCUGGGGAGUACGGCCGCAAGGCUAAAACUCACAGGAAUUGACGGGGGCCCGCACAAGCGGCGGGAGCAUGUGGCUUAAUUCGACGCAACGCGAAGAACCUUACCAAGGCUUGACAUACACCGGAAACAUCCAGAGAUGGUGCCUCUCUGAGUCGUGUACAGUG
rnacentral:rRNA from 1 species